rnacentral:rRNA from 1 species
AGAACGAACGCUGGCGGCAGGCUUAACACAUGCAAGUCGAACGCUCCGCAAGGGGAGUGGCAGACGGGUGAGUAACGCGUGGGAACAUACCCCUCGGUUCGGAAUAACUCAGGGAAACUUGAGCUAAUACCGGAUACGGUCGAGAGGCGAAAGAUUUAUCGCCGAGGGAUUGGCCCGCGUCCGAUUAGCUAGUUGGUGAGGUAAUGGCUCACCAAGGCGACGAUCGGUAGCUGGUCUGAGAGGAUGAUCAGCCACAUUGGGACUGAGACACGGCCCAAACUCCUACGGGAGGCAGCAGUGGGGAAUAUUGGACAAUGGGCGAAAGCCUGAUCCAGCCAUGCCGCGUGAGUGAUGACGGCCUUAGGGUUGUAAAGCUCUUUCGUCAGGGACGAUAAUGACGGUACCUGAAGAAGAAGCCCGGCUAACUUCGCGCCAGCAGCCGC